rnacentral:lncRNA from 1 species
GUUUCUAACAUUCCUUUCUAUCCCUUGCUGUGCCUCUUUCAGGUUCUUUUUCUAUUUUACUUUUAUUAUUUUAUUCUUUUUCACCAAUAAUAAUAAUAAAACCAUGCCCGUUUUAAGUGUUGUAACUCCCGAUCACCGCUACCCUUUCCGAUUGAUCUGAACCCCAUAACGCAUGUCAAGGCUUUGCCCGACUAAGUUCGUUUGGGUUCUGUCUCGUGACAUAGGGACAAGGUUGAAUUAGGGGUACUAUACUCACUACGAGUGCAUUAUAUAUUUUUCUAUAUCUCAAAAGUUAUUCCUCAAAAUUUAUACUAGGAGAUUUUCUAGUUGAACCCUAAAGUUACCCAGUGGGUCCAUUCUCUUUUCUCACCAUUUUAUUUCCUUUUUGUGAUGUACCCAAAAUUAUUAUUUAUUAUUCUAUUUUAUAAACAACUCUCAUCAAAAAGUCAUGCCUAUUAUUUUAUUUACCUAAUAGGAAACCCUAGCUGAGACACCCAAGUAAUCCUACACAACUCCUAAAAUUUCCAGAACAAUCAGAAUCAGGAUCAGGGCCCCUAAAACUCAGGGGGGGGGGGGGGGUAUUCCCCACUUGACGAUUAUCCUUAUAACUUGCUGUCUAAAUUGAAAUUAUUCGUUCCAUCGACUCAGCUAGCCUACUCCCACACGCGGCAAACCUAUGGUCAUUACGUGUCCCUUACGGACCGUAAGGGAUAAGUCUUACGGUCCGUAAGCCUGUCAAAUUUCAUGUAUAAAUAGCAGGCAUCGGCACUUGCAGUCUGCUGUUCAUUCGACGAUUAAAUUCCGAUUAUACACCGAGUUAUAGUCCAAAUACUCUAAAAACACACACGCGAAUCACUAAUUAGUAUAGCAGGGUGCUGCUACGAUACAGGGUAUUAACUCGAUCGCUAUUACGAUUCAUUUUCCGACCGAUCAAUAUAUCCAAUGAAUGUUUAAGUGCCACCCACAUUAGGGUUAUACUUUGUCGCUCGUCGUUAAUUCGUUGGAUGUUUAAGUAUCGUACUUUGUCGUUCGUCGUUAAAUCGAUGGAUGUUUUAAGUAUCGCACUUUGUCGUUCGUUGUGAGAAUUUGAUCUCGUGAGUUAUGGUAAUUGUUGUAUUAAGUUACCUACCUAGUUCGUAUGCACUAGGUUACAAGGCUAAAUCAAUAGGCUAAGCUCUGCCUGUGUAAAUCUGCAAUAUAUCAAGGCUUAUCUAUAGACUAAACUUUGGCCGUAUGAAUCUGCAUGAUUAUAAUGUAAUUACAGUAGAUUGGAGUAAAAGAUGGAUACGACACUGAAAGGCAUCAAGAAGUGGCUUAUUUUAUUAAUUAAAUUAAAUUAAGAAAUAUUGUUUCAUGUAAUCAAAUUUAUCUUUAUUAAAGCUACCAUUAUAAAACAUGGGUUUAUCCCAUCUAUUUAAUAAAUAAAAUCCGGUGUU